rnacentral:other from 1 species
GUUAAGCUGCGACGUUGGUGACUGCCAAUAGCGUUUUUUGAUCUACAAGCUAUGUUAUAAGGGAGCAAUUGAGAUCCGUGGCGGUAGACCGAGCUUAGUACUCGGAAACUUAAACAGGAGCCAGACGUUCCCACCUGGACUCGUCCAGGUCAUAAACUGAGGUAAGACGGCGUUGCGGUGAACCA